rnacentral:rRNA from 1 species
UUAUUAAAGUCUUACUAUUUUUUUUUAUUUUGUUUUAUUACUAAUUGAAGUAAUUUUAUUAUUUAUUGUUUUUGUAUUAUUUAGAUUAAAUAAUUUUAGUAAUAGUAUAUUUGUACAGUGUUGGAUUGAUUAAUAUUAUGAUUAUUUAAAAAGUAGAUUUAAUUUGUUGUACCUUUUGUAUCAGGGUUUAUUAAUAUUUAAAUAUUUAAUAAUAUUUAUCUCGAAUUUAGCAGAGCUAAUUUUUUAUGAAAUUUUUUGUGUCAAAAAUAUUUUUAAUAUAAUUUUAGUGAUGAAAUAUCAGUCGGUGCUUAAGAUAUCUAGUUUUUCAAGAUUUAAAUUUAAUUUAUUUAUUUUUAUUACAAUUUGUUUUAUUAUUAAAUAUUUUGUAUAAAAAUAAAAAGUUUUUUGGGGAUUAGCUCUAAAAAUUUUUUUUUAUAAUAAUUUUUAUUUUUAAUAAUUAAUAGGAUUAGAAAUUUCCAUUUUUAUAUAGAGUGUUAUAAUUAAUUUUAUUAAAAAUUAACUUUUUUUUUUAUUUAAAUUUUUAUUGGAAUAUUAAGUUUAAUUAUUUUCUUUUGUAAUAAUGAUAAAAUUAGUAUUAUUUAUUUUAUAAUUAAAAUUUAUAUUUAGAUUAAAAUAAGGAAUUCAGCAAAAUAUUAUACUCGCCUGUUUAUCAAAAACAUGUCUUUUUGUUAAUAAUUUAAAGUCUGGCCUGCCCACUGAAUAUUUUGAAGGGCCGCAGUAUUUUGACUGUGCAAAGGUAGCAUAAUCAUUUGCCUUCUAAUUAGAGGCUGGAAUGAAUGGCUGGACGAGGUAUAAACUGUCUCAUUUUAAUAAUUUUAGGAAUUUAGCUUUUGAGUCAAAAGGCUUAAAUAUGUUUAAAGGACGAGAAGACCCUAUAGAUUUUUAUAAUUUUUUGUAUUAAUAUUUUUAGUUUUUAAUAUUUUUUAAUAUUAAAAUUUUAUUUUGUUGGGGUGACAUUAAGAUUAAAUUAACUCUUAAAUUUUUAUAACAUUAAUAUAUGAAUUAUUUGAUCCAUUAAUAGUGAUUAUUAGAAUAAGUUACCUUAGGGAUAACAGCGUAAUUUCAUUGGAGAGUUCUAAUCGAUAAUGAAGAUUGCGACCUCGAUGUUGAAUUAAAGAUAUUUCUGGGUGCAGAAGCUUGGAUAAAUAGGUCUGUUCGACCUUUAAAUCUUUACAUGAUUUGAGUUCAGACCGGCGUGAGCCAGGUCGGUUUCUAUCCUUAAUUAAAUUAAACUUUUACUUAGUACGAAAGGACCAGUUGGGGGAAAUAUUUUUUGUUUAUUUGAUUAAAAUUAA